GAGGAAGUUACUGAAGUGACUCAAGAGGGUGUUUCAGAAGAGACUAAGGACUAACAGAUUUAGACACAACACUUUGGCACUCGCCUGAAGAAUCACCCCAGUGACUGGACUUGCGACUGUUUCAAACUGUUAGAACACACUCACUUCCAAAGGAACUCUCUGAAGACUUUUGAAAUAAUGGAGAAUCAUUGUGGAAAAUGGUUUUCACUAUCUUUUAUGUUUUUGGACUUUAAAAACAUAU